rnacentral:tRNA from 2 species
GGGCGGUUAGCUCAGAUGGUUAGAGCGCGUCGUUCACACCGACGAGGUCGGAGGUUCGAGUCCUCCACCGCCCACCA